rnacentral:rRNA from 1 species
UACGUAGGGGUCGAGCGUUGUUCGGAAUUACUGGGCGUAAAGCGCACGUAGGCGGACUAUUAAGUCAGGGGUGAAAUCCCGGGGCUCAACCCCGGAACUGCCUUUGAUACUGGUAGUCUCGAGUCCGGAAGAGGUGAGUGGAAUUCCGAGUGUAGAGGUGAAAUUCGUAGAUAUUCGGAGGAACACCAGUGGCGAAGGCGGCUCACUGGUCCGGUACUGACGCUGAGGUGCGAAAGCGUGGGGAGCAAACAGG